AUUGAACGCUGGCGGCAGGCCUAACACAUGCAAGACGAGCGGAUGAAGGGAGCUUGCUCCUGGAUUCAGCGGCGGACGGGUGAGUAAUGCCUAGGAAUCUGCCUGGUAGUGGGGGAUAACGUCCGGAAACGGGCGCUAAUACCGCAUACGUCCUGAGGGAGAAAGUGGGGGAUCUUCGGACCUCACGCUAUCAGAUGAGCCUAGGUCGGAUUAGCUAGUUGGUGGGGUAAAGGCCUACCAAGGCGACGAUCCGUAACUGGUCUGAGAGGAUGAUCAGUCACACUGGAACUGAGACACGGUCCAGACUCCUACGGGAGGCAGCAGUGGGGAAUAUUGGACAAAGGGCGAAAGCCUGAUCCAGCCAUGCCGCGUGUGUGAAGAAGGUCUUCGGAUUGUAAAGCACUUUAAGUUGGGAGGAAGGGCAGUAAGUUAAUACCUUGCUGUUUUGACGUUACCAACAGAAUAAGCACCGGCUAACUUCGUG
rnacentral:rRNA from 1 species